rnacentral:tRNA from 1 species
GCGCCUGUAGCUCAGCGGUAGAGCGUCUGUUUCACAGACAGAAGGUCGCUGGUUCAAAUCCAGCCAGGCGCA